GCAUCACUACGCUAGAUGCAUAUCAAUAAGCGGAGGAAAAGAAACUAACUAAGGAUUCCCUCAGUAACGGCGAGUGAAGCGGGAAGAGCUCAAAUUUGAAAUCUUCAAGGUUCUACCUUGACGAAUUGUAGUUUAAAGAAGUGUUUUCUGUUGGAGUUUUGGUAAAAGUUCUUUGGAAUAGGACAUCAUAGAGGGUGAGAAUCCCGUAUUUGACCAUUAUUUCCAGCUGUGUGAUACACUUUCAAAGAGUCGGAUUGUUUGGGAAUGCAGUCCAAAAUGGGUGGUAAAUUUCAUCUAAAGCUAAAUAUUGGCGAGAGACCGAUAGCGAACAAGUACCGUGAGGGAAAGAUGAAAAGAACUUUGAAAAGAGAGUUAAAACAGUACGUGAAAUUGUCAAAAGGGAAGCGUUUGACACCAGUGUUGUUUAGUUGAAAAUCAAUUCAAUAAUUUUUGAUUUUGAGUAGUAUUGACUUCAUCAGCUUGCUGCUUUCUUUUCCGAAAUUAUUGAAUGCACUUUUCAGUUAACAAGUCAACAUCAAUUUCUUUUGUUGUAAAAGGGUAAGAGGAAGGUGGCUUACGCUUCGGCGUAAGUGUUUAUAGCCUUUUACCUCUGCAGUCGGGGAGAUUGAGGUCUGCAGCGUAGAUCCUUCGGGGCUAGAUACAUUUAUGCUAAGUUAUAGCUUUUCAUAGACAACUUGUUGACUAUGUUUAGUCAUGUAGCUUACUCGUAAGUGCUAUUUUACCUACGCUUAGGAUGUUGAUAUGCAUGACUGAUAU
rnacentral:rRNA from 1 species